GACGAACGCUGGCGGCGUGCUUAACACAUGCAAGUCGAGCGGUAAGGCCCUUUCGGGGGUACACGAGCGGCGAACGGGUGAGUAACACGUGGGUGACCUGCCCUCAGCUCUGGGAUAAGCCUGGGAAACCGGGUCUAAUACUGGAUAUGACUCCAUGACGCAUGUUGUGGGGUGGAAAGCCUUGUGCGGCUGAGGAUGGGCCCGCGGCCUAUCAGCUUGUUGGUGGGGUGAUGGCCUACCAAGGCGACGACGGGUAGCCGGCCUGAGAGGGCGACCGGCCACACUGGGACUGAGACACGGCCCAGACUCCUACGGGAGGCAGCAGUGGGGAAUUUUCCGCAAUGGGCGAAAGCCUGACGGAGUGACGCCGCGUGGGGACGAAGGCC
rnacentral:rRNA from 1 species